UACGUAGGUGGCGAGCGUUGUCCGGAUUUACUGGGCGUAAAGGGAGCGUAGGCGGAUUUUUAAGUGAGAUGUGAAAUACUCGGGCUCAACUUGAGUGCUGCAUUUCAAACUGGAAGUCUAGAGUGCAGGAGAGGAGAAUGGAAUUCCUAGUGUAGCGGUGAAAUGCGUAGAGAUUAGGAAGGACACCAGUGGCGAAGGCGAUUCUCUGGACUGUAACUGACGCUGAGGCUCGAAAGCGUGGGGAGCAAACAGG
rnacentral:rRNA from 1 species